rnacentral:rRNA from 1 species
CAGAGACUGCAAGCGUUAUUCGGAUUCACUGGGCGUAAAGGGUGCGCAGGCGGCCAAGUGUGUGAAAGGCGUGAAAGCCCGGGGCUUAACCCCGGAAUUGCACCUCAAACUACAUGGCUAGAGCAUUGGAGAGGGUAGCAGAAUUCAUGGUGUAGCAGUGAAAUGCGUAGAUAUCAUGAGGAAUACCAGAGGCGAAGGCGGCUACCUGGACAAUUGCUGACGCUCAGGCACGAAAGCGUGGGGAGCAAAAGGGAUUAGAUACCCCUGUAGUCCACGCCCUAAACGGUGCACACUAGGUCUUGGCGGAUUCGACCCCACCAGGGCCCAAGCUAACGCGUUAAGUGUGCCGCCUGAGGACUACGGCCGCAAGGCUA